GCCCAUAACCUAAUUCUCUCUGUGCCUCCAAACCUUGCAGGGAAGAUGCCAGUAAUUUUCCAGAUUUGUCCCCUGCCUCCACAGUUCAGCCAACACCACCUGCUGCCGUGUCACUGAGGGGCCACAGCCACCAAAAAGUAUCUUGUACCGCCCUUUUACAGUUUUACAAGAGAUGGCAGCUUUACCUCCACAAGCAGUGUGUAGAUGCUGAAAUCCAAUACAGCAGCAAGGUCCCGUGGAGAGAAGCAGAAGUGAAAAAGUCAGUGAAAAGUGAAAAGGGAAGCUGCUCAGGCCUAGAGGCAAAAUCAAGGUUUGUUUUUAGCUGCCUGAAACAAGC
rnacentral:lncRNA from 1 species